UCGCCUGUUUAUCAAAAACAUCGCCUCUUGCUAACAAUGAAGUAUUAGAGGUCCCGCCUGCCCUGUGACAGCAGUGUUUAACGGCCGCGGUAUCCUAACCGCGCGAAGGUAGCGUAAUCACUUGUCUUUUAAAUGGAGACCUGUAUGAAUGGCAUAACGAGGACUUAACUGUCUCCUUUCCCCGGUCAAUGAAACUGAUCUGCCCGUGCAGAAGCGGGCAUAGCAACAUAAGACGAGAAGACCCUAUGGAGCUUUAGGCAAAUGAUCAUGUACACCCAGCCCUCUCUUUUACUAAGAGCCGGGAAAAUAAACGCUUAUGAUCAACAUGCCUUCGGUUGGGGCGACCGUGGAGGAUAGAAAAGCCUCCAUGUAGAACGGGAAAACCCUUAGACUAAGACAAACAAGUCUAAGUAUCAGAAAUUCUGACUAAGCAUGACCCAGGCCAAGCCUGAUCAACGAACCAAGUUACCCUAGGGAUAACAGCGCAAUUCCCUCCCAGAGUCCAUAUCGACGAGGGGGUUUACGACCUCGAUGUUGGAUCAGGACAUCCUAAUGGUGCAGCCGCUAUUAAGGGUUCGUUUGUUCAACGAUUAAUAGUCCUACGUGAUCUGAGUUCAGACCGG
rnacentral:rRNA from 1 species